rnacentral:lncRNA from 1 species
CAGAGACUUUUGCCUACUUGUACUUACAGUCCUUGCAUAUCACAGGUAAAUCCUAUACCUACCUACAUAGAUAGACAUAAUAUGUUAAAAGUCAGUAAAGAGCAUGAGAGGCAAAACAUUACAAUAUUCAUUUUAGACCCUAGUCUGGUAGUCUUAAGGAGGUUUAGAUGCAUUUGCGCUGGCAGGGAGCUGAAUUGGAUGAUAUGAGAGGUCUCUCCCAUCUCUUGACUUCAGAGAUUCAGGCUAUGUUCAUUUCAAUGCAGCUAUGAAAAAGCAGACUUCAGUGCAGCUGUUUCUCUCCUCCUCUAAAGCUUCUCAAGAGAAACUGCUCCUUCCAGGCGGCCGCCUGAAAAUGGUUAAGCAGGGGGUGAGGUUGGGUGCUCAUGAAAAGCAUCCUUAUAACAAGCAAGGUCCUUCCCACUUCAUUCUGCGGCGCGGCUCUGCCUGCCCCCAGCAGACAGCACAGCCCCACACAGAGGCAAGUUUGCUGGGGAAUCAAGGGGCUAGAAGCCUCUGCCAAGUGCCUGCUCCUUACAAAUGAUUCUCCAGGAGCCCCCCCGCCCUCCAGCACCCCCACCCACCGUGCGAGCCCUCCUGUGCAGCGGGGAUGGGAGACGAACGUGGCUGGCUCCUGCGCUGAGCAGGGGAUUUGUGCAGAGAAGCAGUGGCCCGUGUGCGCCUCCUGUUCCCGGUGUAAUUUGCAGCCAAUCAUCAGUAGGUGUCCACAUCCCUGCAUCCUCCUCACCUCGGAGCCAAUCACCCCCUCCCCUCUUCUUCUCUCUUCCCUCCCCUCCCCCAGCCACCACCACCCGCACAUACACACACACAAACAGAGAGAGAGAGAGAGGGAGAGAGAGACUCCCUGGCUCCCUCCCUCCCUCGCACACAGCGACUGGAGACGGACCGAGAGCAACGCGCAGGGAGAGGAGACCACCGAGCACACAGCCAGGCGCUCUCACACAUACACGCACACACAUACUCACCCAGUGCCUGCUCUUUCCCCCCCCUUCCUCCUCCUCCUCCUUUUCUCUCUGCAACCAGGGGGGGAAAGCCACUUACAGGGAGUGAUGUGCAACUAA